rnacentral:rRNA from 1 species
AACGAACGCUGGCGGCAGGCCUAACACAUGCAAGUCGAGCGGACCCUUCGGGGUUAGCGGCGGACGGGUGAGUAACGCGUGGGAAUAUGCCCUUCUCUACGGAAUAGUCCUGGGAAACUGGGGGUAAUACCGUAUACGCCCUUUGGGGGAAAGAUUUAUCGGGGAAGGAUUAGCCCGCGUUGGAUUAGGUAGUUGGUGGGGUAAUGGCCUACCAAGCCGACGAUCCAUAGCUGGUUUGAGAGGAUGAUCAGCCACACUGGGACUGAGACACGGCCCAGACUCCUACGGGAGGCAGCAGUGGGGAAUCUUAGACAAUGGGGGCAACCCUGAUCUAGCCAUGCCGCGUGAGUGAUGAAGGCCUUAGGGUUGUAAAGCUGUUUCAGCUGGGAAGAUAAUGACGGUACCAGCAGAAGAAGCCCCGGCUAACUCCGUG